rnacentral:rRNA from 1 species
GUUGCGAGCUUCACUAGUGAUUAAACUCUGUUAUUAGGGAAGAACAUAUGUGUAAGUAACUGUGCACAUCUUGACGGUACCUAAUCAGAAAGCCACGGCUAACUACGUGCCAGCAGCAGCGGUAAUACGUAGGUGGCAAGCGUUAUCCGGAAUUAUUGGGCGUAAAGCGCGCGUAGGCGGUUUUUUAAGUUGAUGUGAAAGCCCACGGCUCCCCCCUGGAGGGUCAAUGGAAACUGGAAAACUUGAGUGCAGAAGAGGAAAGUGGAAUUCCAUGUGUAGCGGUGAAAUGCGCAGAGAUAUGGAGGAACACCCCUGGCGAAGGGGACUUUUUGGUCUGUAACUGACGCUGAUGUGCGAAAGCGUGGGGAUCAAACAGGAUUAGAUACCCUGGUAGUCCACCCCGUAAACGAUGAGUGACUAAGUGUUAGGGGGUUUCCGCCCGCUUAGUGCUGCAGCUAAGCGCAUUAAGCACUCCGCCUGGGGAGUACGGC